GAGGGUAUAGCUCAAGUGGUAGAGUGCAUGCUUAGCAUGCAUGAGGUCCUGGGUUCAAUCCCCAGUACCUCCU
rfam:Camelus ferus unplaced genomic scaffold scaffold533, whole genome shotgun sequence.